AACGUAGGAGACGAGCGUUAUCCGGAUUUACUGGGCGUAAAGCGCGUGUAGGAGGCGCUACAAGUUGGAUGUGAAAGCUCCCGGCUUAACUGGGAGAGGUCGUUCAAGACUGUAGAGCUAGAGUGAGGCAGAGGUAGAUGGAACUCCGGGAGUAGUGGUGAAAUGCGUAGAUAUCCGGAAGAACACCAGAGGCGAAAGCGAUCUACUGGACCUAAACUGACACUGAGACGCGAAAGCCAGGGUAGCAAACGGGAUUAGAUACCCGUGUAGUCC
rnacentral:rRNA from 1 species